rnacentral:rRNA from 1 species
GAAUCUUGCGCAAUGCGCGAAAGCGUGACGCAGCAACGCCGCGUGGGGGAAGAAGGCCUUCGGGUUGUAAACCCCUUUCAGUUGGGACGAAGCUUCGAGGGUUAAUAGCUCUCUGGAGUGACGGUACCUUCAGAAGAAGCCCCGGCUAACUACGUGCCAGCAGCCGCGGUAAUACGUAGGGGGCUAGCGUUGUCCGGAAUCAUUGGGCGUAAAGCGCGUGUAGGCGGUCCGGUAAGUCCGCUGUGAAAGUCGGGGGCUCAACCCUCGGAUGCCGGUGGAUACUGUCGGGCUUGAGUACGGAAGAGGCGAGUGGAAUUCCUGGUGUAGCGGUGAAAUGCGCAGAUAUCAGGAGGAACACCAAUUGCGAAGGCAGCUCGCUGGGACGUUACUGACGCUGAGACGCGAAAGCGUGGGGAGCAAACAGG